rnacentral:misc_RNA from 1 species
GAUGAAGAACGUAGCGAAAUGCGAUAAGUAAUGUGAAUUGCAGAAUUCAGUGAAUCAUCGAAUCUUUGAACGCACAUUGCGCCCGCCAGUAUUGUGGCGGGCAUGCCUGUUCGAGCGUCAUUACAACCCUCAGGCCCCCGGGCCUGGCGUUGGGGAUCGGCGGAGCCCCCCGUGGGCACACGCCGUCCCCCAAAUACAGUGGCGGUCCCGCCGCAGCUUCCAUCGCGUAGUAGCUAACACCUCGCGACUGGAGAGCGGCGCGGCCACGCCGUAAAACACCCAACUCUUCUGAAGUUGACCUCGAAUCAGGUAGGAAUACCCGCUGAACUUAAGCAUAUCAAUAAGCGGAGGA